GGAACCGUGCAAAUGUCUCGGCCUAACCAGGAUAUUUCCCUUGCUCAACCUGGGAUAUUUGCACCGUGCAGAAACAGCCUUAGUCAUAUUGAAUGAAAUUGGUUUAUUUACAAGUUUAUCAGCUGGUGGUUACAUCCCUAAAUUUGUGUGUUUGUUUGUUAGUUUUGAUAUACCGCCCCAUCACAUGCUGGUUGUUCUGUGUGACAGUCUGGUGUGUUUGUUACCAUACCAAGCUAAACAUGGGCUGAAUUUUAGAUGUCAUAAAUCUCAGUUUUUUUCACAAAUUUGUUUAAAUGUCAAGCUCACAUGCUCCUUUAUGCUGUCCCAAUUCAAGUGCUUCAAUAAAUUGUGCUUCACUUCCUUCAAUCCUAAAUUGAACUCAAAGGGCUUAGAAGGGUGUGAUUCUGUUUAGGAUUGACCUGUUGGAAUCUUAACAAGGAUUGAAUACGGUGAAAGUUGCUUUCUAUCUUGAAGUGUUUUAUUGAAGAUCACGAAGGAUGUGGUAUAAGCUGUUGCCAGGUUUCAAAUAUUAGAUAUGAGAUGAGGGUGUGCAUAAU